UUAGAACUUGCCACCUUUCCGCCUGCUUGUUGUUAUGGCGACGCUGACGCUGAAUACCCAGUGGCAGAGAAUUGCCAGGGAGCAUGGAACCCAGAGGGAAUUCGGCGGGAGAGGAUUCGGAGGAAUGCUUUACCAUAGAGAUGCUUCUGAGGCCUUCGAUUUCAGACCAGCUGCGAGUGGGCUUCUUUGGAACGGACCAUGCAACCCAAACAGAUGUAAGCGAAGUUCUGGAACUAAAGGAAGUGACCGGUGUAAUGCAAUCUCUUGUGAAGUCUGUGGAUGACCUGAAGAAAGAUAUUGUUUACCAAAAAAAUCUCCUGCAAGCAGAAUACAAGCAGAAGAUUGAGGAGCAAGCCGUGAAGCUGUAUGAGCAGAUGACCUGUACCGUACAGGAUCUGGAGGAGGUUUACAAAAAGAAGGUCUCCACGCUGAGGAAGAGCUACCAGCAGCAACUGAUCAAUAGCCUUGCUGUAAUAAAGGCAAAUUAUGAGGGUUCUUAUACAGGGGGCACAGCCCUUUCAGGAUCUGCCUCUUCUGCUAAGGUCCAGACAUUGAAAAAGAAACUCUUUGAGAAAGAUAUUGUCAUUCAGACACUGGAGGCACGGAUUUCCGAGCUGGAACAAAGUGAUCACCCGAAGCAGAUCAUUUUCGAAGCAGAAGAUGACCCAGAAAAAAAGCGACUGGAAGAAGAAAAUAAAGAAAUGAAAGGGAAAAUUGAUGAGCUGUAUGAAAAUGCUCAGAAGCUGGAAGAUGUUCUCAGACAGAAGGAGAAGCAGAUUCGCUUGCUAGAUCUGGACGUGGGUUCCAUGAAACAGAAAAUGGAGAAAGACCAACAGACCAUUGAAAAGUUGUCUUCUGCUCAAGAGAAACUAAAAAUUGAUCUUGAAAAUGAGAAAGCAACCGCAGCAAAACUGCUUAAUCAACAGAAGGACGAAAUGGAAAUGUUAUUAGAAGCCAAGCUAAAGGAACAAGAGAAACAGUUUAAUCAACAAAAACAGGAGAUUGAAGGAAUAAUGAAGACAAGGCUAAAGGAAAAGGAAAAAGAGCAUGAACAAAUGCAACAAGAAUACCAAAGUAGAAUCCUUGAAGAGCAGAGACAAAAACUGAAGCACAUUCGGGAAGCAGAAUCUAUCAAACAAAAACUGCAAUCAGCAAAGCCUACAAGCCCUCAAAUCAAGACGCCGGAUGUAAGCAGAGACACUGAAACGCUACUUGCUCAGAUUAAGAAACUUGCAGCAGUUAAAGAAGAGCAAGAAAAAAAUAUAGAAGGGCUUCGGAGGGAGCUGGACCGGAUAAACAGAACAUGGGAGAAGAAGUUUGAGAUCUUGAAACAAAGCUUUCAUGCUAUAAAGGAUGAGAUGUUCCUGAGACAGUCGCUGCAUCGCCAGUCCUUAAGCCUUCAGAAAGUAUCCGUCAGUUAUAUGACAAAUGAAAACACUGGCGAAAUUCCUUCAAGUGCUGGUCCAAAAAAUAGCUUCUAUUUUCCUGCCAAUCCUUUGCCCCAAAUAGGAACCAAGACAUCUCCAAGUCGCUUAACUCACAUGGCCGACAGCUACGCAGAUUAUCAAGAACAAGUCAUGGUCACAGAGAACGAGCUACAGGUUGUGUCUGACGAUGAAGAGGAUCUGGAAGAUGUUCAUCCUCUCCCACCGCCUCCCAAUAUAAAUUAAAGGAGAAAUCAAGAGCCACCUUUUUUUCCACCAUAGUUUUUAAGUCUUAUUAUAAAUAUGACAUAAAUAUGAUGAUUUUGUAUGAUACAUGCAGAAAGUGCCCUUUUUAAACUUCAUGUUAAAAUGUAUAGAUGUACCCUCAAAUGUACAGCAAUUUGAUUCUGUGCAUUGUAUUAUAUAAUAGUAUAUGGUGAGUCUCACUCUUGCACUGCAGAGGCUAAGGUCCUCACUGGCUUAGUAAUACAAUGGUUUAGCCAAUAGGAUAACUUCAUCUUUUUGUUUUAUUGUAGUAUUCAGAACUGGCACCCAAAACUGGAAACACAGAUUGAUGAGGCUGUAACGUUUUUCCAGAAUACUCAAGAUUUACCCAGUAGGAACUUUUAUGUUAUUUGCCUUAUUCUUCUAAUUGUGAGGUAAGCAUUAUUUCCUUUAAACAUAACUGUCAGCGUGUUGGAAUGAUGCUCUGGCAUCUGAGAUAAAGGGGAUAAAGAAAAAAAACCCCAAAGUAAAGCCUAUACGUAGCUUUGCGCAAGGUAUUGUUUGCUAAUGGCAGCAACAGGCGACUCCUUACAAAUGCUGUGCCCUGUACCAGUCGCCACGGCAGGGUUGCCCUAGAAACUUGAAGAACCCUGUUAAACCUCCUGCUAUAUAUCAAGGACUCGUUCAGGCAGCUCCUUGCUGAAUUACAUUUACACAGUUUGGCGCUUCUUUCAAAUAUCCUCCAAUUCCAUUGACCACAGAAAAGGGUUUCUUUUACUCCUCCAGAGAUGAAUUGGAUUAAUUAGUAAGCAGAUAAAUGGCAAUGGCUGGUGAGUGGGUUUCCAGCAGAGUUUUACCAGAGAGGGUUAAUAGGAGUCAAAUUUGGAAUCUUUCCCAGAAUUGGCUUCCAGCCACGGUCGCCAUCCAGCCAAAGUACAUAGACGGAAACACACAUAGAUAUGGGCAGACUUUGCAGCUUUUCUGAGCUAAAUAGACUAUGCAAGCAUCCAAACAUACUAUAUAGAUGACGGAUAGACAGGCAGACAGGUCACAGACUGACAGAUGACAAAAAGGACACAAAUGUAAAAUGUCUUUCUUUAAAUUGUUUAAGUGAAAGGAAGUGGCAUUUAAAACAGUACCCGGUGGCUGUAUGAUGCGCCCUCUCACAACCAGAUUCUAAAAUACUAUAAUCAGCUCUGGCCACAAAAGGAAAAGCUGAAUAACCUUGGUAAGUAAUAAUAUUAUUGCUCUGGGUGUAGGCUUAGUAUAGGGCACUGCUUAAUAUCACAUACCUGCCAGAGCUGGACAUGUCGGCACUGUUUAGCUUUAAUGCAUGCUGGACCAGUGCCUGCCAUGUACAUAAGCAAGCACAUUAGUGUACUGGAUAUACCUGGUUGGCAUCUAUGCAGUAGCAAGCCAGCUGGCCAUAAAUUGUAUUGUGGUGGUUUUUGGCACAAACAUUUUUGUCUGGUCAUCACUUGACCUCCCAGGAUAAAUGUCUUUCCUUGGAGUAUCUACAGUAGGUCACUCUGUUACUUAUCCAAUACCUACGUCUGCACUUUUCCUUGCUUGCUCCUUGCCUGUUUCUGCUGGUGGGUGUCUGUUUUUACCUUUGGCUUGUUAUAUGAAUAAUCCUAUGAUGUGCUUUAAGGUGGCCAUACACGUUACAAUUACAUUCUUUCCUGUCA